rnacentral:rRNA from 1 species
UACAGAGGGUGCAAGCGUUAAUCGGAUUUACUGGGCGUAAAGCGCGCGUAGGUGGCCAAUUAAGUCAAAUGUGAAAUCCCUGAGCUUAACUUGGGAAUUGCAUUCGAUACUGGUUGGCUAGAGUAUGGGAGAGGAUGGUAGAAUUCCAGGUGUAGCGGUGAAAUGCGUAGAGAUCUGGAGGAAUACCGAUGGCGAAGGCAGCCAUCUGGCCUAAUACUGACACUGAGGUGCGAAAGCAUGGGGAGCAAACAGG